CCUCUUCAGACUCGGGCCGGCCAGCCAACCAGAGACGCAGAGGAGGGCGGGGGCUUCCAGCCUACUGUGCCUUUAACUUCUAUGCAAGGAAUAAUUGUCUUCUGCUGUAAAGCUGAUAAGCCAUGGAUACCGUUAUGAGCACGUAUUGCUUGGGCAAGAGGUUCUACAGAGAGUACAAAGAAAAGGGGCACCCCUGCCUUGUUCCAUUCGACAGAGUGAACCGGUCGGACAACGCACCAUUAGAAAAAACCAUUGCUGCUGGAUUAGAGUAGAGAGCUUUAAUAGCGCUAAGGAUGGCCCCAGAAAAGCCAAAAGUCUCCAAGACCGAAAACGCAUAUCGCCAGUUCACUCUGUCGAACGCCUUCUCGGCAUCGAGAGUGAGGAAGGCAGCUGGGAGAUUGUGUGUCUCGCAACACUGGAUAAGAGAUAACAUACGUCUAGUAUUAUCAGGGCCCCUCGUCCUGCAAUGAAGCCAACUUGGUCGGCCCCGACUAAGGAAGGGAGCAAGGGCAUCAAUCUGGACGCCAGUAUCUUUGCAUAUAUCUUAACGUCACCAUUAAACAGGGAAAGGGGCCUAUAAUUGGUAGUACUGUCUGCAGGUUUGCCUGUUUUAUGAAUGGUAGUUAUCAGAGCAGUUAACAUCUCUUGUGGGAGUGAUCCCGUAUCCAUUGGUAUAUUGAGGUCCGUCAAUAAGUGUUGUGCUAGAAUGUUACUAUAUGGUUUGAAGUAUUCGUUCGGAUGUCCGUCUGGGCCUGGGGCUUUAUGUGAAGGUAAAGAUUUUAUAGCGGACAGUACUUCUUACAGAGAAAAAGGAGAAUUGAGGGAUUGUAAGGCAGAGUCAGAAAGGCGAGGAAGAUGUACAGACUGCAGAAAGGAGGUAAUAGAUGAAUGAGUCGUCUGGGUCGUCUGGGGAUCAAGCUGCAAGUUGUAAAGAUUUUUGUAAUAAUCUCUGAAGGCAUUGGCUAUUUCUCUAGGUGAGAGCACUGUUUUUUUCGUAACUGGGUGUAUUAAGGUUGCUAUUCUACUUUUGGCCAGGGAGGGCUUUAGUCUCCUAGCUAAUAAAGAGCCUGGUUUGUUGUCCUGAGUAUAGAAGCGAAACUUAGACUUCCGUAAAUCUAUUUCAAACUGGUGGAGUAUUUGGCGUAAUUUGGUACAGGCAGUAAUUAGUCUGGAAAAGACUUCUGAUUGGGGAUUGGUUUUGUGUGAAGAUUCCAGUACAGAGUGGAACCUAAAUGAAUGAAGUCGCCCCUUAU